CAACUACUCCCUUUGUCCCAAAUUUCUUGUCUUAGAUUUGUCUAGAUACAGAUGUAUCUAAUACUAAAAUGUGACUUGAUACAUCCGUAUCUAGACAAAUCUAAGACAAGAAUUUUGGGACGUUGGGAGUACUUU
rfam:Triticum aestivum genome assembly, contig: Triticum_aestivum_CS42_TGACv1_scaffold_193791_3AL